rnacentral:rRNA from 1 species
UGCAGGUGGCCUUGUAAGUCGAGUGUGAAAGCCUGGGGCUUAACCCCAGAAGUGCAUUCGAUACUGCGAGGCUUGAGUGUUGGAGAGGCUAUUAGAAUUCCUGGUGUAGUGGUGAAAUACGUAGAUAUCAGGAGGAAUACCGGAGGCGAAGGCGGAUAGCUGGCCAAACACUGACGCUCAGACCCGAAAGCGUGGGGAUCAAACA